UGUCAGUUCGUGUAUGUGGUACGAAAGAGAAUCAAACUCAGUCCUGAGAAGGCCAUCUUCAUUUUUGUCAAGAACGUUUUACCUCCAACAGCGGCUAUGAUGUCUGCAAUAUACGAGGAAAAUAAGGAUGAAGAUGGAUUCCUGUAUAUGACGUACAGCGGGGAGAACACAUUUGGGGUGCUGAUAUGAAAUAUUCACUACCACCAUCAUCCUUGUGAAUAGAACUGCCAUUAAAAAAAAAAAAAAAGUAGUUCACUAGUUGCCUUAGUUGUAAAUUCUGUCAUUUUAACAAUUUCUCGUAAAGUUUAUGAUCUGUUCCACGACACUCUUUAUGAAUGCUAUGACUAGAUUUAACUGGCUUUUAUGCAGU